rnacentral:rRNA from 1 species
CUACGGGACGCAGCAGUGAGGAAUUUUGCGCAAUAGGGGAAACCCUGACGCAGCAACGCCGCGUGAGUGAAGAAGGCUUACGGGUCGUAAAGCUCUGUCAGAUAGGAAAAAAGUUCAUAUGUAAAUAGCUUAUGAAUCUGAUGGUACUAUCAGAGGAAGCACCGGCUAACUCCGUGCCAGCAGCCGCGGUAAUACGGAGGGUGCAAGCGUUGUUCGGAAUUACUGGGCGUAAAGGGCGUGUAGGCGGUAUGGUAAGUCAGAUGUGAAAGCCUUGGGCUUAACUCAGGAAGUGCAUUUGAUACUGCCAUCCUUGAGUAUGGGAGAGGAGAGUAGAAUUCCCAGUGUAGAGGUGAAAUUCGUAGAUAUUGGGAGGAAUACCCGUGGCGAAGGCGACUCUCUGGACCAAUACUGACGCUGAGACGCGAAAGCGUGGGGAGCAAACAGGAUUAGAUACCCCGGUAGUC